rnacentral:rRNA from 1 species
UUAAGCGACUAAGCGUACACGGUGGAUGCCCUGGCAGUCAGAGGCGAUGAAGGACGUGCUAAUCUGCGAUAAGCGUCGGUAAGGUGAUAUGAACCGUUAUAACCGGCGAUUUCCGAAUGGGGAAACCCAGUGUGUUUCGACACACUAUCAUUAACUGAAUCCAUAGGUUAAUGAGGCGAACCGGGGGAACUGAAACAUCUAAGUACCCCGAGGAAAAGAAAUCAACCGAGAUUCCCCCAGUAGCGGCGAGCGAACGGGGAGCAGCCCAGAGCCUGAAUCAGUGUGUGUGUUAGUGGAAGCGUCUGGAAAGGCGCGCGAUACAGGGUGACAGCCCCGUACACAAAAAUGCACAUGCUGUGAGCUCGAUGAGUAGGGCGGGACACGUGGUAUCCUGUCUGAAUAUGGGGGGACCAUCCUCCAAGGCUAAAUACUCCUGACUGACCGAUAGUGAACCAGUACCGUGAGGGAAAGGCGAAAAGAACCCCGGCGAGGGGAGUGAAAAAGAACCUGAAACCGUGUACGUACAAGCAGUGGGAGCACGCUUCGGCGUGUGACUGCGUACCUUUUGUAUAAUGGGUCAGCGACUUAUAUUCUGUAGCAAGGUUAACCGAAUAGGGGAGCCGAAGGGAAACCGAGUCUUAACUGGGCGUUAAGUUGCAGGGUAUAGACCCGAAACCCGGUGAUCUAGCCAUGGGCAGGUUGAAGGUUGGGUAACACUAACUGGAGGACCGAACCGACUAAUGUUGAAAAAUUAGCGGAUGACUUGUGGCUGGGGGUGAAAGGCCAAUCAAACCGGGAGAUAGCUGGUUCUCCCCGAAAGCUAUUUAGGUAGCGCCUCGUGAAUUCAUCUCCGGGGGUAGAGCACUGUUUCGGCAAGGGGGUCAUCCCGACUUACCAACCCGAUGCAAACUGCGAAUACCGGAGAAUGUUAUCACGGGAGACACACGGCGGGUGCUAACGUCCGUCGUGAAGAGGGAAACAACCCAGACCGCCAGCUAAGGUCCCAAAGUCAUGGUUAAGUGGGAAACGAUGUGGGAAGGCCCAGACAGCCAGGAUGUUGGCUUAGAAGCAGCCAUCAUUUAAAGAAAGCGUAAUAGCUCACUGGUCGAGUCGGCCUGCGCGGAAGAUGUAACGGGGCUAAACCAUGCACCGAAGCUGCGGCAGCGACGCUGAUGCGUUGUUGGGUAGGGGAGCGUUCUGUAAGCCUGCGAAGGUGUGCUGUGAGGCAUGCUGGAGGUAUCAGAAGUGCGAAUGCUGACAUAAGUAACGAUAAAGCGGGUGAAAAGCCCGCUCGCCGGAAGACCAAGGGUUCCUGUCCAACGUUAAUCGGGGCAGGGUGAGUCGACCCCUAAGGCGAGGCCGAAAGGCGUAGUCGAUGGGAAACAGGUUAAUAUUCCUGUACUUGGUGUUACUGCGAAGGGGGGACGGAGAAGGCUAUGUUGGCCGGGCGACGGUUGUCCCGGUUUAAGCGUGUAGGCUGGUUUUCCAGGCAAAUCCGGAAAAUCAAGGCUGAGGCGUGAUGACGAGGCACUACGGUGCUGAAGCAACAAAUGCCCUGCUUCCAGGAAAAGCCUCUAAGCAUCAGGUAACAUCAAAUCGUACCCCAAACCGACACAGGUGGUCAGGUAGAGAAUACCAAGGCGCUUGAGAUAACUCGGGUGAAGGAACUAGGCAAAAUGGUGCCGUAACUUCGGGAGAAGGCACGCUGAUAUGUAGGUGAGGUCCCUCGCGGAUGGAGCUGAAAUCAGUCGAAGAUACCAGCUGGCUGCAACUGUUUAUUAAAAACACAGCACUGUGCAAACACGAAAGUGGACGUAUACGGUGUGACGCCUGCCCGGUGCCGGAAGGUUAAUUGAUGGGGUUAGCGCAAGCGAAGCUCUUGAUCGAAGCCCCGGUAAACGGCGGCCGUAACUAUAACGGUCCUAAGGUAGCGAAAUUCCUUGUCGGGUAAGUUCCGACCUGCACGAAUGGCGUAAUGAUGGCCAGGCUGUCUCCACCCGAGACUCAGUGAAAUUGAACUCGCUGUGAAGAUGCAGUGUACCCGCGGCAAGACGGAAAGACCCCGUGAACCUUUACUAUAGCUUGACACUGAACAUUGAGCCUUGAUGUGUAGGAUAGGUGGGAGGCUUUGAAGUGUGGACGCCAGUCUGCAUGGAGCCGACCUUGAAAUACCACCCUUUAAUGUUUGAUGUUCUAACGUUGACCCGUAAUCCGGGUUGCGGACAGUGUCUGGUGGGUAGUUUGACUGGGGCGGUCUCCUCCUAAAGAGUAACGGAGGAGCACGAAGGUUGGCUAAUCCUGGUCGGACAUCAGGAGGUUAGUGCAAUGGCAUAAGCCAGCUUGACUGCGAGCGUGACGGCGCGAGCAGGUGCGAAAGCAGGUCAUAGUGAUCCGGUGGUUCUGAAUGGAAGGGCCAUCGCUCAACGGAUAAAAGGUACUCCGGGGAUAACAGGCUGAUACCGCCCAAGAGUUCAUAUCGACGGCGGUGUUUGGCACCUCGAUGUCGGCUCAUCACAUCCUGGGGCUGAAGUAGGUCCCAAGGGUAUGGCUGUUCGCCAUUUAAAGUGGUACGCGAGCUGGGUUUAGAACGUCGUGAGACAGUUCGGUCCCUAUCUGCCGUGGGCGCUGGAGAACUGAGGGGGGCUGCUCCUAGUACGAGAGGACCGGAGUGGACGCAUCACUGGUGUUCGGGUUGUCAUGCCAAUGGCACUGCCCGGUAGCUAAAUGCGGAAGAGAUAAGUGCUGAAAGCAUCUAAGCACGAAACUUGCCCCGAGAUGAGUUCUCCCUGACCCUUUAAGGGUCCUGAAGGAACGUUGAAGACGACGACGUUGAUAGGCCGGGUGUGUAAGCGCAGCGAUGCGUUGAGCUAACCGGUACUAAUGAACCGUGAGGCUUAACCUU